rnacentral:rRNA from 1 species
UACGUAGGGGGCGAGCGUUGUCCGGAAUUAUUGGGCGUAAAGGGUUCGCAGGUGGCCUUUUAAGUCAGAUGUGAAAGCCCACGGCUCAACCGUGGUAAGCAUUUGAAACUGGAAGGCUUGAGUUAAGGAGAGGAAAGUGGAAUUCCUAGUGUAGCGGUGAAAUGCGUAGAUAUUAGGAGGAAUACCAGUGGCGAAGGCGACUUUCUGGACUUAUACUGACACUGAGGAACGAAAGCGUGGGGAGCAAACAGG